rnacentral:rRNA from 1 species
UCGAACGCUUCUUUCCUCCCGAGUGCUUGCACUCAAUUGGAAAGAGGAGUGGCGGACGGGUGAGUAACACGUGGGUAACCUACCCAUCAGAGGGGGAUAACACUUGGAAACAGGUGCUAAUACCGCAUAACAGUUUAUGCCGCAUGGCAUAAGAGUGAAAGGCGCUUUCGGGUGUCGCUGAUGGAUGGACCCGCGGUGCAUUAGCUAGUUGGUGAGGUAACGGCUCACCAAGGCCACGAUGCAUAGCCGACCUGAGAGGGUGAUCGGCCACACUGGGACUGAGACACGGCCCAGACUCCUACGGGAGGCAGCAGUAGGGAAUCUUCGGCAAUGGACGAAAGUCUGACCGAGCAACGCCGCGUGAGUGAAGAAGGUUUUCGGAUCGUAAAACUCUGUUGUUAGAGAAGAACAAGGACGUUAGUAACUGAACGUCCCCUGACGGUAUCUAACCAGAAAGCCACGGCUAACUACGUGCCAGCAGCCGCGGUAAUACGUAGGUGGCAAGCGUUGUCCGGAUUUAUUGGGCGUAAAGCGAGCGCAGGCGGUUUCUUAAGUCUGAUGUGAAAGCCCCCGGCUCAACCGGGGAGGGUCAUUGGAAACUGGGAGACUUGAGUGCAGAAGAGGAGAGUGGAAUUCCAUGUGUAGCGGUGAAAUGCGUAGAUAUAUGGAGGAACA